UACGUAGGCAGCGAGCGUUGUUCGGAGUUACUGGGCGUAAAGGGCUCGUAGGCGGCCAACUAAGUCAGACGUGAAAUCCCUCGGCUUAACCGGGGAACUGCAUCUGAUACUGGAUGGCUUGAGUUCGGGAGAGGGAUGCGGAAUUCCAGGUGUAGCGGUGAAAUGCGUAGAUAUCUGGAGGAACACCGGUGGCGAAGGCGGCAUCCUGGACCGACACUGACGCUGAGGAGCGAAAGCCAGGGGAGCAAACGGG
rnacentral:rRNA from 1 species